GAAUAUUGGACAAUGGGCGCAACCCUGAUCCAGCCAUGCCGCGUGCAGGAUGGCGGUCCUACGGAUUGUAAACUGCUUUUGUACAGGAAGAAACCCUUGCUCGUGAGCAAGAUUGACGGCAGUGUAAGAACAAGGAUCGGCUAACUCCGUGCCAGCAGCCGCGGUAAUACGGAGGAUCCAAUCGUUAUCCGGAAUCAUUGGGUUUAAAGGGUCCGUAGGCGGUUUUAUAAGUCAGUGGUGAAAUCCGGCAGCUCAACUGUCGAACUGCCAUUGAUACUGUAGAACUUGGAUUAUUGUGAAGUAACUAGAAUAUGUAGUGUAGCGGUGAAAUGCUUAGAGAUUACAUGGAAUACCAAGUGCGAAGGCAGGUUACUAACAAUUUAUUGACGCUGAUGGACGAAAGCGUGGGUAGCGAACAAG
rnacentral:rRNA from 1 species